rnacentral:rRNA from 1 species
UACGUAGGGGCAAGCGUUGUCCGGAAUCAUUGGGCGUAAAGAGCGUGUAGGCGGUCCGGUAAGUCGGCUGUGAAAGUCCAGGGCUCAACCCUGGGAUGCCGGUCGAUACUGCCGGACUAGAGUUCGGAAGAGGCGAGUGGAAUUCCCGGUGUAGCGGUGAAAUGACGCAGAUAUCGGGAGGAACACCUAUGGCGAAGGCAGCUCGCUGGGACGUUACUGACGCUGAGACGCGAAAGCGUGGGGGAGCGAACAGG